rnacentral:tRNA from 1 species
AUUACUUUGGCAGAAAAAGUGUGUUAAAUUUAGAAUUUAAAAUGAUAUGUAAGUUAGAUAGAUUUAUAUAAGUAAUA